rnacentral:rRNA from 1 species
GACGAACGCUGGCGGCGUGCUUAACACAUGCAAGUCGAACGGAAAGGCCUGCUUUCCCUUGUGGAUUGCGGGUACUCGAGUGGCGAACGGGUGAGUAACACGUGAGUGAUCUGCCCCCAACUUGGGUAUAAGCCUGGGAAACUGGGUCUAAUUCCCGAUAGGACUGCAGGGUGGUGCCUGUGGUGGAAAACGAUUUUCUAGUGGUUGGGGAUGAGCUCGCGGCCUAUCAGCUUGUUGGUGGGGUAAUGGCCUACCAAGGCGGCGACGGGUAGCCGGCCUGGGGGGGGGGACGGCCAAAUUGGGACUGGGAGACGGCCCAGACUCCUACGGGGGGCAGCAGGGGGGAAUAUUGCCAAAGGGGGGGAAGCCUGAGGCAGGGACGCCGGGUGGGGGGUGACGGCCUGCGGGUUGUAAACUCCUUUCGACCGGGAGGAAGCCACCUGGUUGGAAGGGUGGUGACGGUAGUGGUAGAAGAAGCACCGGCUAACUACGU